rnacentral:rRNA from 1 species
GAUGAACGCUAGCGGCAGGCCUAACACAUGCAAGUCGAGGGGUAACUAGAGUGAUAGCAAUAUUACUUUGGCUAGACCGGCGCACGGGUGCGUAACACGUAUGCAACCUACCUUAUACUGGGGAAUAACUUCGAGAAAUCGGCGCUAAUACCCCAUAACAUUGCGAAGAGGCAUCUCUUUGCAAUUAAAGCUCCGGCGGUAUAAGAUGGGCAUGCGUCCAGUUAGCUAGUUGGUGAGGUAACGGCUCACCAAGGCUACGAUUGGUAGGGGUUCUGAGAGGAUGAUCCCCCACACUGGUACUGAGACACGGACCAGACUCCUACGGGAGGCAGCAGUGAGGAAUAUUGCGCAAUGGACGAAAGUCUGACGCAGCCAUGCCGCGUGCAGGAUGACGGCCCUAUGGGUUGUAAACUGCUUUUGUACGGGAAUAAACCCUUCUACGUGUAGGAGGCUGAAGGUACCGUAAGAAUAAGCACUGGCUAACUCCGUGCCAGCCGCCGCAGUAAUAC